UACGGGGGAUGCAAGCGUUAUCCGGAAUUAUUGGGCGUAAAGCGCCUGUAGGUUGUUUAGUAAGUCUGUUGUUAAAGACCAGGGCUUAACCCUGGAUAAGCAAUGGAUACUGCUAGACUAGAGUAUGGCAGGGGUAGAGGGAAUUUCUAGUGUAGCGGUGAAAUGCGUAGAUAUUAGAAAGAACACCAGUGGCGAAAGCGCUCUACUGGACCAUUACUGACACUCAGAGGCGAAAGCUAGGGUAGCAAAAGGGAUUAGAUACCCCUGUAGUCCUAGCCGUAAACGAUGGAUACUAGAUGUUGUAAUUAUCUUACAGUGUCGUAGCUAACGCGUUAAGUAUCCCGCCUGGGGAGUACGCUCGCAAGGGUG
rnacentral:rRNA from 1 species